rnacentral:rRNA from 1 species
AGAGUUUGAUCCUGGCUCAGAACGAACGCUGGCGGCGUGGCUAAGACAUGCAAGUCGAACGGACUGUUCAAUUUAUUGUUCAGUUAGUGGCGAAAGGGUUAGUAACGGGUAGGUAACGUACCCUGUGCUUUGGGAUAGUGUCAGUUGCUUCGGCAACUUUCCGAAAGGGGCAGUAAUACCAAAUAAUAUCAUCUGUCGAUAGGCGGAUGAUCAAAGAUUUAUCGGCACGGGAGCGGCCUGCCUCCUAUCAGCUUGUUGGUGAGGUAAAGGCUCACCAAGGCAACGACGGGUAGCGGGACUGAGAGGUUGGCCCGCAACAUCGGGACUGAGACACUGCCCGGACCUCCACGGAGGGCUGCAGUAACGGAUAUUGCGCAAUGGGCGAAAGCCUGACGCAGCGACGCCGCGUGUAGGAUGAAGUCUUUCGGGAUGUAAACUACUGUCAGGGGGAAGAAAGUGCGCUUCGGCGUAUUGAUCUAACCCAGAGGAAGUCACGGCUAACUUCGUGCCAGCAGCCGCGGUAGGACGAAGGUGGCAAGCGUUGUUCGGUAUUACUGGGCGUAAAGCGCGCGUAGGCGGCUUGGUCAGUCGGAUGUGAAAGCCCCGGGCUUAACCUGGGAAUUGCAUUCGAUACUGCCAGGCUAGAAUGUAGUAGAGGGAAGUGGAAUUCCGGGUGUAGCGGUGAAAUGCGUAGAUAUCCGGAGGAACAUCAGUGGCGAAGGCGACUUCCUGGACUAACAUUGACGCUGAGGUGCGAAAGCGUGGGGAGCAAACAGGAUUAGAUACCCUGGUAGUUCACGCCGUAAACGAUGUCAACUAGAUGUUGGGGGGUUUAACCCCUUAGUAUCGCAGCUAACGCAUUAAGUUGUACCCGCCUUGGAAGUACGGCCGCAAGGUUAAAACUCCAAAGGAAUUGACGGGGCCCGCACAAGCGGU